rnacentral:rRNA from 1 species
UACGAAGGGUGCAAACGUUGCGUCGAAUUAUGGGCGUAAAGCGCACGUAGGCGGCUUAGCAAGUCGGAUGUGAAAGCCCUCGGCUCAACCAAGGAAGUGCAUCCGAAACUGCUGAGCUUGAGUACUUAAGAGGAUCGCGGAAUUCCCGGUGUAGAGGUGAAAAUUCGUAGAUAUCGGGAGGAACACCAGUGGCGAAGGCGGCGAUCUGGGAAGAUACUGACGCUGAGGUGCGAAAGCGUGGGGAGCAAACAGG